ACACCCUCAAGCUCUGCUUGGUGUUGGGCGUCUGUCCCCCCGCCAUGGUUGGGACUCGCCCUAAAGGUAUUGGCAGCGGUCCUGUUAGGCCUCCUAAUCGCGCAGCACUGUUCGCGCUUCUUGGAGCCUGUACGGAUUUCAGCGUCCAUCCAAGCCCACAUUCUUUG
rnacentral:misc_RNA from 1 species